UCUAGAAGGGAGUCCGCAAACUGCGAAAUCCGAUCUGAGAUCUGCGAAAACUCGCGAGACUCGCUGCCCCGACGACCUAUCCUAACCUUAACUAUUCGAGAUCAAUCAUGAGAUCAAUUUCAGAUCUUAACCAAAGAACGAACUUUUGCCUUAACGAACUAUUUGCCUUAACUAUUCGAGAUAAAUGCCUAACUUUAUAAUCGCGCGAGAGUUCCCCCCAGUUCGCUGGCUCCCUUCUAGCCACUACCGCGGUCGAGCUGAUUCGCGCUCUCUUUCCGAACGGGGCCGAUCUUUGCCGAUCUUCCUGCAGCGGCCGAAGCGCUGCUGUUUUGCUGCGUGUCCUUCUCCAGCGUCUACACCGUCUCCAUCCUCCGACACUGUUUUCAUCAUGGUGGACAUUUUGUUGUUGAUGUUUUUCGCCAUCAUGGGCCUCGUCUUCCUCUCCUACAUCAUUUACCUGCUGUGAUGAUGAAGACGAUGAUGAUGAUGAAGCCUCCUGCACACAGGCAGCCAGUGCACAGACAGCAGGCGUACACAGGAUGUGUGUUUUUCCUCUCCUGCAUCCCUGGUUUCCAUCAUGGAUAAAUGGGAGAAAAGCCGGAGUCCUGCCAUGAUGGUCUCCUCAUGUAGGAGGUGAAGAGCAAUCCAGCUGAGAGGAAAAACAAAUGGACAAGAAGUGGAAGCCAAACUGCCUCCUUCUUGUCUCCUACCACCUCCUUCCUCCUCCUCCUCCUCCUCUUCCUCCAACAAAAUGUCACUACUUCCAAGAGCUCCCACUUACUUUUCAGUCUAACCAGUGUGUUUUCUAUGCUACUCAAGGGUUGUGCAUGUUUCUCUUUAAAGGAGGAGAAAUGUUACCUCUGCACAAGUCCAAUAAAUCACAUGGAUGCAGGAUGGUUUUUUUAGGGUUGGGCGUAAUACGGGUGUAGAAUUUGCCUUUUUAAAAACACUGUGAGCUAGUUUUCUGCUCUAUCUAUUAUGUGUAAUGUUCAGUUUGAUCAUCCUUAUGACCUUGAGGUCAACCCUUCUGUUCUCAUGUUUUCGCCUUGGUUGGCUCAGCCUCGAUAUCAGUGUUAUUUAUUACUUUAUUCACAUGUUGCCAACUAUGUUCUUCUCCUCACUACAAUCAAGAUUCCCCGUCAGGUUAAAGCCAAAGGGAAUGUGUCAGUUAUGUAUCUGUAUUGAUCUGUACUUUAAGAGUUAUGUUUGUUUUUUGUUUAUUACUUUGAUUGCAAAUGACAUCAACGAGGAGCAAUGGUGUCAUUUCAGAAAUAUAUCCACUGUAUGUGCUUCUCAGUUUUACCACCAAACCUCAUAUAGAUGAUGUGUUACUAUAUAAAUGAUGUUAAGUUUACUGAUGCACUGAUGAUUUACUGAGGUUAAAGACAGUAUUUCACAUGAUAUGUCAAAUAAAGAUGAUUUCUGUAAACCCA